GACAGAGGUGCCAAGCGUUAGGCGGAAUCACUGGGCUUAAAGCGGGUGUAGGCGGGCGAUCAAGUACCUUGGGAAAUCCCACGGCUCAACCGUGGAACUGCUGGGUAUACUGGUUGUCUUGAGCCAGCUAGGGGCGAGCGGAACAGACGGUGGAGCGGUGAAAUGCGUAGAUAUCGUCUGGAACGCCGAAGGUGAAAACAGCUCGCUGGGGCUGCGCUGACGCUGAGACACUAAAGCCAGGGGAGCGAACGGG
rnacentral:rRNA from 1 species